GUAACACCCGAAGUCGGUGAGGUAACCUUUUGGAGCCAGCCGCCGAAGGUGGGACAGAUGAUUGGGGUGAAGUCGUAACAAGGUAGCCGUAUCGGAAGGUGCGGCUGGAUCACCUCCUUUCUAAGGAA
rnacentral:rRNA from 1 species